UGAGAACAGAGGACUAAUAUUAACUAGUAAUGUUACCCUGAAAGAUGUCGCUACCUCUCCUGGAAAAGCAUUUCUCGUCUUUGGCCUGGUUGUCAGUGGGGCAUUCCUUACCUCAGAAAAGCCUCUUUUCCACUCCUUCAUGCUGUGGUUUAGAUCAUCUCAACAUAAAAGCACCAACUGAUAGAUAUCAAAUGUGCCAAGUUUGUAGUUCCACAACACCGAGGAAUGAAGUCUCAAACCAAAGGAAGAAGUUAGGAGAGUUUUAUUGGAAGAAGAAUAGCUCCUGGACUUCCAGAAAGGGUCCCAAGUGGUGUGGCCACUAAAAACCUUUGUCAGGAGUAAUUUACACAGCAAAGUCACAAUAAUUCCCAGAUUUCUUCAGCCACAGAGAUUCAGAAGCCUUAAAUAUUUUGGUGAAAUUUAUUCCUGAAUCACCACAGGAGCUAAAAGCAAUACUUUCUGACAAGCAGUCAUUAUUGAGGACACUACAACAUCCAAAAGACAGGGGAAUUUUACUUGAUAUGUUUGUCAAACGUUGUUGUAAAUUUAAUUGUGUCAAACAAGCUAAGAUGUUAAUUGUAAUUUCUAAUCCACUUAUGUAAUCUUCAUUUCUAAUCUUGAAUAUACUGUCACUGAUGUCCCGGUCAGUCACUACUGAUUAUUAAAAUCAUG
rnacentral:lncRNA from 1 species